UACGAUAAUAAUUUUUCACGGGUCUGC
rnacentral:sRNA from 1 species